rnacentral:rRNA from 1 species
CCUACGGGGGGCAGCAGUGGGGAAUUUUGGACAAUGGGGGCAACCCUGAUCCAGCAAUGCCGCGUGAGUGAAGAAGGCCUUCGGGUUGUAAAGCUCUUUUGUCAGGGAAGAAACAGCAGCUCUAACACAGUCUGCGAAUGACGGUACCUGAAGAAUAAGCACCGGCUAACUACGUGCCAGCAGCCGCGGUAAUACGUAGGGUGCGAGCGUUAAUCGGAAUUACUGGGCGUAAAGCGUGCGCAGGCGGUUAUACAAGACAGGCGUGAAAUCCCCGGGCUUA